rnacentral:rRNA from 4 species
GUGACCCCAGGUCAGGCGGGGAC